UACGAAGGGGGCUAGCGUUGCUCGGAAUCACUGGGCGUAAAGGGCGCGUAGGCGGACUCUUAAGUCAGGGGUGAAAGCCCAAGGCUCAACCUUGGAAUUGCCUUUGAUACUGGGAGUCUUGAGACCGGAAGAGGUAAGUGGAACUGCGAGUGUAGAGGUGAAAUUCGUAGAUAUUCGCAAGAACACCAGUGGCGAAGGCGGCUUACUGGUCCGGUUCUGACGCUGAGGCGCGAAAGCGUGGGGAGCAAACAGGAUUAGAAACCCCCGUAGUCC
rnacentral:rRNA from 1 species